GCUCCAGUGGCCUAGUGGUUCCAGCGUUCGCCUCAGAUGCGGGAAGUCGCGGGUUCAAUCCCUGGUUGAGUCA